AUGGCAGUGUCCCAGAGGACAGUGUGCUGCCGGCGGCAGGGCGGGGUGCCGGACUUGCGGGGCUCGGGCCCCCGCCGCCAGCUGGGGAGGAUGGGCAUGCUCUCCUGCUUGCAGAGGCCUCGGUCUGGGCGGUGGCGGGCCUUGAUCUCCUUGCACACGCAGCGCUUGCGCUCUAUCACCUCCAGCAAGCUUGCCCAUCGCGCUCCCGGGAGGGCUGAGGCGGUAGGGGCAGCGGCAGGGCAGGGUGGGUCUGGCUUGGGGCAUCCCCUAGGCUGGCUGCAGGGCCGGGGGGUAUGGAGCGCGGCCUGCCGGACUCCAGAGGUGGAGGCCGAGCGCCCCAGGCGGUAGCCUCCCGUGAAGUCUGAGGUGGAGAAAAGGUAAAGUGAGGAGGGUAGGGGCCUCCAGGUUCCCCUUCUGCAGUUCCCCAGAGGGCAGCCCCUUCCAGGCUGCCCCUCGACUCAGCAGGGGAGGCAAGGGGAUGGUGAUGUGGUGUUAAAAAGAAGGGCCCAGGACGUGGACCCUGAGAGAUCUCCCCCCCCUUCCAGCCCCCAUCUUUGUCCGGGCACGGGCGGGAUGUCACCUCCAUUGCGGUGGCAGGCAGGAAACGUCUGGCAGGGUACAGGCAGCGCUGUGCGACUCCCUCCUCGGUCCCCCUCCGUGGUGGAUCCUGGCCAGCAGGCCCUCUGCCCCCUGACUCCUCACUGGGAUCCCUGAUGCCAUAGGGCCCCCUGUCCUCACGCUCCACCUUGCCUGGACCCUCGGCACUGCCAUUCCAGGCCCGGGCACCAUCCUCGACCUCUGCUGGGAUGACAAGGAGAGCUUAGUGCCUGCACAUGGGAAGGGUCUUGCUGUUCCCCCCAGCUACACACACCGCGGCAUGCAUGGACCAGAAGUGACUGCCCUUUUGCAAGUCACAGCAGAGAAGGAGGGACCCGAUUUCACAGUCCCCCAAACACAAACACACAGGAGGGACCCCAAUACUGCCACUUUCCUUUCCACCCGUUGGUAUCAUCUCUGGCCUGAGACACAAAUAUUUGCUGCUGCCAAACCCUUUUCUGUGGUCAUAGGGGUCUCCCCUACCCCAGCUUUAGCUCCAGAGCCCCUCUGGCCCGAUAGGGCCACAAUGACCCUCCUCUGAAACAUAGACCAGGAGCACUGUUCCCCCAGGAGGGGGAGAUCCCAAAUCCUGAGCCAGGAAGUGGAAAGGGGGGGUGUUGGGGGAAGGGCUGCAAGUGAACUAAGCUCAGCUCAGAGAGGAGGCCUGGCAGAGCAUUUCGUUGCCAGGCAACGGUAGGGGCCUCCCUCUCCUCUCCCUCCUGUCUGGAUGGGUUGCCAUGGCAACAGCUGGGAGGCAGCUGUGUUUAGCUCCUAGUGUGCGCACACUCACAAACACACACCCCUGCAGCCUAGCAAAGGGAAGGGCAGAGAGUAGAGUGGGACGGGGCAGGAGGAGGCGACCCUUGGGGCCAGAUUCUAGCCCCUCCCCAUCGCAGACCUUCCUGCCCAUCCAGCACACACAUGGGGACCCCAGCCCCGUCAGCCUGCCGCAUGCCCUUACUCUCCAGUCUCCUUGAAAACUUCCCACUUCAGGACAAUGGGUUGUGCCUUCCAAAUAAUCCCUCCAACACUUCCCCGAAAUCAUCCCAGGCAUCCCGAGUCCCC
rnacentral:lncRNA from 1 species